GAUUAACGCUGGCGGCGUGCCUAACACAUGCAAGUCGAGCGGCAGCGAGUUUUACACUGAAUUCUGGAAGCUUCUAGUUGAAAGAGAAGAUUUAUUCAAGAAUUUUGUGUAAAAUGUCGGCGAGCGGCGGACGGCUGAGUAACGCGUGGGAACGUACCCCAAAGUGAGGGAUAACGCAUCGAAAGGUGUGCUAAUACCGCAUAUGGUCUUCGGAUUAAAGCCUUCGGGCGCUUUGGGAACGGCCUGCGUAAGAUUAGAUAGUUGGUGGGGUAAUGGCCUACCAAGUCGACGAUCUUUAACUGGUUUGAGAGGAUGAUCAGUCAGACUGGAACUGAGACACGGUCCAGACUCCUACGGGAGGCAGCAGUGAGGAAUCUUCCACAAUGGGCGAAAGCCUGAUGGAGCAACGCCGCGUGCAGGAUGAAGGCCUUCGGGUUGUAAACUGCUUUUAUAAGUGAGGAUUAUGACAGUAACUUAUGAAUAAGAAUCGGCUAACUACGUG
rnacentral:rRNA from 1 species